AUGAAGUGGUUGAGGCUGCUGCCCAAAUAACCUGUCAUAUUGUUUGACAGUGAACUUGGUUUUUCAUUUUGUUUCUCAGGUAGAAAUAAAAGACUAAAAGAAUGCUAAGAAAUAUGCCGUGGUAAAUAAGCUAAACCAGGAACAGAGGCAUUUCUUACCAAGUAUGACACUGCAUAAUUUCGUGUCGUACUUUUAGGCAAAUUUCAGUGCGGUUGCUCUGUUUACACAGGCAUUGCCACACAUGCGUAAGUAAGUAAACGUCACCAGGCUACAGGAAUGCAAGACCACUGUCAUAUGAGUGAUCCUUCAUUGACCAAAAAGGAUCGCAGUGCCUGUCAUUAUGUAUGCCGAUAAGUGUUCUGUGAACUAGGCCAUUUACCGGAUUCUUGUUUCUUGUCCUCACCUUUCUCAUCUUCUCUCCUUCCCUUUGCACCCCUCGGCCCUCCAGCUCAGGAAACUAAAGACUGGAACAUUAUCCCCCGGAUUUUUCAUGCUUUUGGAACCGUGUAUGAACAUCCUGACAGGCUUUGAGGAAAUGCAACAAAAAGCAGCUGGCUCAGGGUUCUCUGUGUAACAGCUCUAGCUGUCCUGGAAUUCAUUUUGUUGACGAGGCUGGCCUUGAAUUCUCAGAGCUCCACCUGCCUCUGCAUCCCAAGUGCUGGGAUUAAAGGCAUGAGCCACCACCACACAGCAGAUCUUCA
rnacentral:lncRNA from 1 species